rnacentral:miRNA from 1 species
GCUGACACAUUCCGGCCAAUCUCCAGCAGACCCUCCCUCCCAGACCCUCUCACCUCCUGGACAGCAUCCAUGUUGAAGCUGCCUUCAACAUGGAUGCUGUCCAGGAGGAGGGAGGGUCUGGGAGGGAGGGUCUGCUGGAGAUUGGCCGGGAUGUGUCAG